rnacentral:rRNA from 1 species
AUUGAACGCUGGCGGCAGGCCUAACACAUGCAAGUCGAGCGAGCGGCGGACGGGUGAGUAAUGUAUGGGGACUGCCCGAUAGAGGGGGAUAACUACUGGAAACGGUAGCUAAUACCGCAUACUAUCGGAUAACCCAUAUGGUAUUAGCUGGUAGGUGAGGUAAUGGCUCACCAAGGCGACGAUCCCUAGCUGGUCUGCGAGGAUGAUCAGACACACUGGGACUGAGACACGGCCCAGACGCCUACGGAGGCAGCAGUGGGGAAUAUUGCACAAUGGGCGCAAGCCUGAUGCAGCCAUGCCGCGUGUGUGAUGAAGGCCCUAGGGUUGUAAAGCACUGUCAGUCGGGAGGCGGUACCGACACAAGAAGCACCGGCUAACUCCGUGCCAGCAGCCGCGGUAAUUC